rnacentral:rRNA from 1 species
CAGCCGCCACGGUAAUACGUAGGUGGCAAGCGUUGUCCGGAAUUAUUGGGCGUAGAGGGCUCGCAGGCGGUUUCUUAAGUCUGAUGUGAAAGCCCCCGGCUCAACCGGGGAGGGUCAUUGGAAACUGGGAAACUUGAGUGCAGAAGAGGAGAGUGGAAUUCCACGUGUAGCGGUGAAAUGCGUAGAGAUGUGGAGGAACACCAGUGGCGAAGGCGACUCUCUGGUCUGUAACUGACGCUGAGGAGCGAAAGCGUGGGGAGCGAACAGGAUUAGAUACCCCUGUAGUCCCUGUCUCUUAUAC